rnacentral:rRNA from 1 species
CUCCGGGUUUUGUUUGCGCAGGAUAGGUGGGAGGUGUUGAAAAUUUUCUUGCGGGAAGAUUGGAGCCGUUGGUGAGAUACCACUCUAACAAUGCUAGGAUUCUAACCCUACACCGUUAUCCGGUUAGGGGACAGUUUCAGGUGGUCAGUUUGACUGGGGCGGUCGCCUCCCAAAAGGUAACGGAGGCGUGCAAAGGUUUCCUCAGGCUGGUCGGAAAUCAGUCGUAGAGUGUAAAGGCAUAAGGAAGCUUGAUUGUGAGACCUACAAGUCGAACAAAGACGAAAGUCGGCCUUAGUGAUCCGACGGUUCCGAGUGGAAGGGCCGUCGCUCAACGGAUAAAAGUUACUCUAGGGAUAACAGGCUGA